rnacentral:rRNA from 1 species
GAUGAACGCUAGCGGCAGGCUUAACACAUGCAAGUCGAGGGGCAGCAGGUCUUCGGACGCUGGCGACCGGCAAACGGGUGCGGAACACGUACGCAACAUACCCACUACAGGGGCAUAGCCCGGAGAAAUCCGGAUUAACACCCCAUAAUAUAAUUGGGAGGCAUCUUUUGGUUAUUAAAAAUUUAUUGGUAGUGGAUUGGCGUGCGUCCCAUUAGAUAGUUGGCGGGGUAACGGCCCACCAAGUCAGCGAUGGGUAGCUGGUGUGAGAGCACGACCAGCCACACGGGCACUGAGACACGGGCCCGACUCCUACGGGAGGCAGCAGUGAGGAAUAUUGGUCAAUGGACGCAAGUCUGAACCAGCCAUGCCGCGUGGAGGAUGACAGCCUUCUGGGUUGUAAACUUCUUUUAUAUGGGAAGAAAAGUACGGUUUCUACUGUAUCCGACGGUACCAUAUGAAUAAGCACCGGCUAACUCCGUGCCAGCCGCCGCCGUAAGAC